GUUCUACUGCUGCGUUGGUAACUGCCAAUACGUUUGUUGAUCUAUGCUAAACGUAUAAGGGAACCAACAAAUUCUGCAGAAGUAGACCGAGCUAGUACUCGGAAAUGGAAAGCAGAAAGCGUAGGUACCCACCUGGUUUUACCAGGUCAUAAACUGAGGUAAGACGGCGCAGCGGUGAACUA
rnacentral:other from 1 species